GGGGGCUGCCGGCCCCCGCUGCCGCCCACCAGCCCCCCCCACUCCUGCUCCUCCGCCUCCUCCUCCUGGCCACCCCACUGCAGCCCAGCAGAGGUCUCUAUCUGUGCACCAGCGGCAGCACCACAUCCUAUGAAGAAUGCCUCCUCAUCCACAGCAAGUGUGCCUGGUCCUCCAAGGAGGAGUUCGGCAGCGCAAAGUCCAUCACGUCGCAGUGUGACUUCCCGCAGAACCUGAUUGCAAAUGGUUGUGCCAGAGUCAUCGAAAACCCCAUCAGCAGCAUCAGGGUGGUGAAGAAUGUCCCUCUGAGCAGCAAAGGCUCUGGCCAGACUCACCUGGAUGUCACACAGAUCAUGCCUCAGAAGGUUGCCUUGAAUCUUCGUCCUGGUGACCAGACCUCCUUCUGAGUUCAGGUUCAGCAAGUGGAGGACUAUCCCGUGGAGCUCUACUAUCUGAUGGAUCUCUCCCUGUCCAUGAACGACGACCUAGAUAAUAUUUGCAAUCUGGGGACCAAGCUAGCAGAAGAGAUGUGAAAGCUCACCAGCAAUUUCCGGCUGGGGUUUGGCUCUUUUGUGGACAAAAACAUUUCCCCUUUCUCCUACAUGGCACCAAGAUACCAAGACAAUCCCUGCAUAGGUUACAAGCUGUUCCCCAGCUGCGUCCCAUCCUUUGGCUUCCGCCACCUCUUGUCCCUGACAGACAAAGUCGACCGUUUCAACGAAGAAGUUCAGAAACAGAAAGUCUCCCGCAACCGAGAUGCUCCAGAGGGCAGUUUUGAUGCAAUUUUGCAAGCUGCUGUGUGCAAGGAGAAAAUUGGCUGGCGUAAGGAGGCAUCUCACCUGCUGGUCUUCACGACGGAUGAUGUGCCUCACAUAGCCCUGGAUGGGAAGCUGGCGGGGCUGGUGCAGCCCUAUGACGGCCAGUGUCACCUGAACGAAGCCAGUGAGUACAGCACGUCCAGCCAGCUGGAUUAUCCUUCCCUGGCACUUAUUGGGGAGAAACUUGCUGAAAACAACAUCCAUCUGAUUUUUGCUGUUACGAAAAGUCAUUAUGUCCUGUACAAGAACUUUACCACCUUGAUUCCUUGGACAACAGUGGAGAUUUUGCACAAAGACUCCAAGAACAUCAUCGAGCUGAUCAUCAAGGCCUACAACAGUAUUCAGUCCAAGGUGGAGCUCACAGUCUGGGACAGCCCUGAGGACAUCAGCUUGACCUUCACUGCCACGUGCCAGGAUGGGAUGUCCUAUCCCGGGCUCAGGAAGUGUGGGGAUCUCAAAAUAGGAGAUAUGGUUUCCUUCGAGGUGGCUGUGGAGGCGCGGAGCUGCCCUGCCAAGGACAUCUCCCAUGCCUUCACCAUCAAGCCCGCCAGCUUUCGGGACACGCUGGAGGUGGUGGUGACCUACAGCUUCCUCUGUGGGUGCACCGGCCACGCCGUGCCGGCCAGCAGCAAGUGCAGCGGCAACGGGACCUACGCCUGUGUGCUGUGCGAGUGCGACGCUGGCUACCUAGGCGCCAAGUGCGAGUGUGAGGAGGGAGCCAGCGGGGAAGUGCACCAAGCCAUGUGCCGGGAGGCAGAGGGCAAGCCCCUCUGCAGUGGGAGAGGGGACUGCAGCUGCAACCAGUGCCUCUGCUAUGAAAGCCAGUUUGGAAACAUCUAUGGACCCUUCUGCGAGUGCGAUGACUUCUCCUGUGCCAGGUACAAGGGAGUCCUCUGCUCAGGCCACAGAGUGUGUCACUGUGGGGAGUGCAAAUGCCACACCGGUUACAUUGGGGACAACUGUAACUGCUCCACUGAGAUGGACAGCUGUGUUUCCAGCGAUGAGCAGAUGUGCAGUGGCCAGGGCAACUGUGUCUGUGGGAAGUGUCAGUGCACUGAGCCGGGGGCUUUCGGAGAGAAACAAUAUUAA